GAAACGUCAACUGAGUGUGGAAACUGGCGAACGUACAGAACCUCAUCUCUGAUUAAUAUUCCGGAAACAGUCUGUUUGGCCUUUCCCUCAGGUCUAGGCUAGAUUAGGCCAUCGGAUUUCUCGUGCCGUCGGACUCCGCAUUCGUACGUAAGUGCAGGACUAAGCAACGUUCUACACAGAGGUAGCAAGAUGCACUAAACGAUCCUCUCGAGACCUAAGCUUCCAUCAGACAGGGAACUCUGGCGGUCAUGUCCCUCUCUGUUCUCAUCUCAGCAGGACUUCUGGCAUGUGAGUCCUGUCGCCCCACGACCAUUUUCAAGUGAAAGAACCGAAGAAGUCUCCAAUCAAAGAAUCAAAGUUCGAGUCGAUCGAAAGUGACUGAAGAUCCACUCCGGGGCAAGUAAUGACAGGCUAUGUUGUCUCUGAGGCUAAAAAACUUCGUAUUCCGCCUGAGGAUAAGGAAGAGAUCGCUUUGCGGCGAGUUCCAAGGUCAAAGCCAAGGCUGACAUAGCGUAAGGAAGAAGGAAGUACGAAAGAACCAACGGCGAAAUGAAACGAAAUCAAAGAUAUUUCCAUAUUUCUUCAGCCAGCAUCAGUUUGAAACCUUGCAGAGCAUUUCACCAGAGAACAAAGCGUAAGAUUUCGGGAAUCUGCUGAACUGUAACAGUGUUUUUGUGUCAGUACAAAAUCUCUACGACUUUUCUAGAGUUUGUUUUGGUCAACAAGCACUGUAUUUGACAUUCUUCCUCAGGUGCAAGCGUUUGCGCCCUUAUGUGAUGAGUGGCCUAUGUUACGCCACAUCAAAUGAAAAUUCAUCACACGAAUUGAGACAGUCACGUAAACAUCAAGC